rnacentral:lncRNA from 1 species
CAUUCACCUGGUAAUACCAUUCCUCAGGUCCUUGCUGUUUAUUGUUUGGCCAAAGAGUUCAAAGUUUCCUAAGACAGGAUCACCUGGAGGUAUUUGUUGAAUGUACAGAUUCUCAGAUCAGCUCAAAAUCUGCAUCUGAACCUUUUAUACGUUAAAGUUUUUAAGAACUGCUAAGUGUCCUUAAGGCAUAUGGUACUUUUUUUUUAAGGCCAUAUACAGGCUACUUUUCAUAAUUCCUUUUUGAAACUGUCUUUAAGGACUGCUCUAAUAGAUGGGCUCUAUCCUAAGUGCUUCUCCCCUUAAGAAGCAUUUUAUUUGGCCUUCUGCCCCACUGUCAGUAGCAUAAGCUGACUGAGUUUCUAUUACCAUUAACGUCCUUCUUUUUAUGCUCCUUGUUCUAUUUUCCUUUGUGUUGCAGUAUAGAUGAAUGAAGAAAAAAGUGAAGACCGAAAGACAUUCAGAAAAGAGAGCAGACAAAAGAGAAGUGAUAGUGAACAAGUGCUAGAAAUACAAGACAGAAACGAGAUUUGGGAAAAAUUUGGGAUAGAUGGAAUCUAUCAUUUGAUAAAUAGCCAUUGCUGCUCCAUGUAGCCAUUCAGUGACCCUCCCUUCUUCCAUCUAGUUUUCUCCACUGAUUCUAUUGCAUCUGGAUAACUAAUGGGGUAAGAAAAAGAACACGACUAAUUGUGAGAGUGAUCAUAAGAUACUAGGCCUAAAAGUGGCAGUGUUAUCUUUGCCCACAGUCUGUUUGCCAUAACUCAGUCAUAUCGCUUCACUUAAAAAGAGUAAGAAAUUUCUAAUAUGUCUCCUUUUCUAAAGGAAAAGGAGAAGCAUGCAUUUAGGUGAGUAGAAGUGUUCUCAACCAUAAACUUCAAUAGAUACAUAAAAAAGAAUUUUUUAAUAGAUGAGAAUGGUUUCUCAGGGGAAUUGUCACAGCUCCCAAAUCUAUGAGAAUUUAAUUGGGAAUGCCACUGCACUUUGGUGAAAAGAGUAUGGGGUUUGAAAUCAGAGUACCUGGUUUUGUGUUUUUCAUAGCUCAUCACUUAUUAACUCUGUAACUUUGCAUGAACAUACCUUUCAUAUAAAUCAGUUUCAUUAACUAUAAAAUGGUG